GCUCCCGUGGUGGAAUGGUAGACACGAGACACUUAAAAUGUCUUUCCAAGCGGAGUACCGGUUCGAGUCCGGUCGGGAGUACCA
rnacentral:tRNA from 1 species